UCGAAACAGAGAAAACAGACCUUAGAAAAACCCCUAAAAUUCUAGUAAUUUUACCCAGCUGUUCAGUGCUUUAUGUUAAUGAGAAUUUUGGUGGAUGGGUUGGUGCAAUAAGACUUGGUUUGUCUUUUGUCCACAGAGCUGCUUCUCGCUCCCGCAGCCGAUCUCGUAGCAAGAAGAAUAAGGGAAAGGGCAAGAAGGAGGAGGAGGAGCGCAGCAACGGCGCUCAGAAGAACAAGGAUCGCAGCCGGAGCCGCAGCCCCAAGAGUAAAAAGAGCAAGAAAGAGGGGAAAAAGGGCAAGAAGGGGGAGUCCAGGUCCAGGUCUCGCUCUCGUUCUCGCUCCAGGUCUCGCUCUAGAUCUCGUUCUGCAUCUGGAGCUAAGGAUCAGUCAAGGAAAUCUGUCUCAAAGGGCCGGGAGGAGCCCAAGAGCGAUGACGAGGGCGGCGAGCCUGAGCGAGGCUCACGCUCUCGUUCUCGUUCCCGUUCUCAGUCUCCUGAGGAGUCCAAAUCCAGAGCCAGGUCUAAAUCAAAGUCCAAAUCCCGUUCCCCCUCACCUGCCAAAGCCCGCUCCCGUUCCCGCUCCGCCUCCAGAUCGGAGUCCCGCUCUAAAUCCCGCUCCCAGUCUCGUUCUCGUUCCCGUUCCCGCUCUUAGUUCAGAUUUUGGACUGUUUGUCACAAGCCCUCCUCCCAGUGUCUCCCUCCUGCCCUCUAUUUACAUUCCCCGUGCCCGACAACACUAUCCUCACCUCCUGUUUUUUGAUAAGUAGCUGUAGAAUACCAGGCGCUCAUGCUCGAUGUCUCUUAUGCACAUGCUACUCCAUUUCAUUUGCCCUUUACCAACAUACGUUUUCAUUAGUGGUGUUUGUAACAAUAACAACAGGGUGCAAUGUCAGUUUUAUAAGUUCAAGCGAAGGUAUGGUAUUUGUCUUAGCCUUUUUUAAUCAAAUGUAGAAGCAUACUGUUUUUGUCGAUAUGCUGGUUGGGAACACCUUCCCCACUUUUGUGAAAUCCUUGUAAUCUUUGUUUCACAUUAAAAAAAAAAAAAAAAGCUUGUUCUGGACUUGUUAGUCAUGUUUAUGUUGGUAAUAAAUUCGGUGUGUGAGGGAAGCAGGUUGGCUCUUUUAUUUAUUUUUUUAUUUUUUUUGCAUGAUGGUGUAAAUAUCACUGGGGUGAGUUUGUGUUUCUUUGUUUGCUCAGAAAACAGUUGGAACAGUUUUUAGAAAAUGUUUUUUUUUUUUUUUGUUUGUUUUGUUAUCCUAUGUUAACAUAGGAUUAAUUUAAAAAAAACAAAACAACAACAACAACAACUCAUAAGGCAGUUUUAUCUGUUUUUAAAAAGCCAAAGAUGUGUUUUGUAAAGUAAAAGGCUGGUUUGACUGCUGGCAGGCUUCAGUUUCAUAACGUAAAUUCCUCUCAAACUCAGCUGAUUAC
ensembl:lncRNA